CUUGGACAAUUAAAAAAACAAAGGAAGCUCAGGGACAGUGCCCAAGCCCUGAGUUCAAACCCCAGGACUGGCAAAAACAAAAACCACCAAGGGGGAAGCACAAAGAAAGGGAUUACUGCUCUAAGAUUUCCAGUUCCAGUUCUUAAGCCAUUGCAUGUGUGCUGUCUUGUCACCAAGACCACCAGGCUCUCAUUCUCCAAGAAUAAAUAAGCCCUUUCUUAAGGCCUGAUAUAAACCACCACAAUUAAAAUGUCUACCGUUGCUAAUCAACAAAAUAGAAGAAACACAUGUAUUUUUUACUUUGAGAGAAUUUGGAGAAAAAUCAGCAGAUUUCCUAAGGAAACAACUUUUGUGUGGUGUGAAAAGGGCCUCCUUGUUUCCACAUUGGAAGCCCUUGAAAAACCUGUACUAGCACCAUUCUCCAGCCCCGCCUUGCCAGCCGUGUUUAUACCCACAAGGCUGUGGGCCCAGUAUGCACUUUUCAGCUUUCUUCCACCAGAGCUAAGUAGGUGGCUCUGGCCUAUGCUCUAGUACUUCUCUGUUCUUAAAAGGUCAUUAAUCUAAAACCCAUUGGUAGUCAUUGCCCUUUGUCCCAAAGCCUACAUACUGCUACAAAGUUUUGCGUGCCUCCACGUAUAUCCUGAACCUGAAAGUGAAAAAUGCCUUAAAUUCUGCAUCUAUUCCUAUUAAAAUGAGUAGUUUAUGUUAGUUUAAAAAGAAAAAAACAAACUACACUUCAAACUAUUUUAUACUGAGAGAAAUUUCUUAUUUUAUGCUUUUAUUUUUGGAAUAUGACUACAUCUUGUGUAUAUCACUUAUGGGAAAAUAAUGCUUAAGUUCUGGAAAAAUGAAAGUUAAGUUCAUUGCUUGACUAUGGCAAAUACCAAUAUAAACUCUAACAGAGGACAUAUUUCCACUAACACAAAUUGAAACAUCUACACCAAGUGAUCCAAGCCUGACUUUCUCUUGCUUUCCAUAGUCAUGAAAGAAGUUCAACAUUCCAGUUUUCAACUUUACAACUAAGGAAAACUUCACUAAGUAGAUGCCAAGUUACUCACAUGAAUCACAAGACAUGCUUCUAUCCUUACUUAGCUACUUAUGACUAAGGAGUGUAGUAAGAAUUAUAUAAGGCACAAAAAUUAUAUAAGGAAUAUCACAUACCAGAUAAAGAAGUAAAUGGUUUACAAGUGAGAAAGUCAGCUAACAAGUCUGAUUAUUUACUCUCUCCACUACCUUCAGCUAACAUUCCAAUGUCAAACAGGGCUCCUUCCUCAAUCACACAGUAGACUUUCCAAGGGCAUCCGAUCAGAUUGGCCAAUGACCUCCCUUAAGAGUACAUUCUUGGUAACAUAGUAACACCUCUUGUCUACAAACUAACUAAAGUCAGUCACUUUCAAGGGAAUGUUGAAAGUGAGGAUGUUUUGGAAUGCAUGCUACAAAUGGCUACACUGCCCCCAAUCCUCAGCACCCACAUAGCUCAGCCUCAGGUUAAGGAAAGAGGAUGUCAAGGACGGAGACACAAACAGAACUCAGC